UACAGAGGUCUCGAGCGUUAGGCGGAAUCACUGGGCUUAAAGCGUGUGUAGGCGGAUCGUUAAGUGCCUUGUGAAAUCCCACGGCUCAACCGUGGAACUGCUUGGCAUACUGGCGGUCUUGGGCAACCUAGGGGCGAGCGGAACAAAUGGUGGAGCGGUGAAAUGCGUAGAUAUCAUUUGGAACGCCAAUGGUGAAAACAGCUCGCUGGGGGUUUGCUGACGCUGAGACACGAAAGCCAGGGGAGCAAACGGG
rnacentral:rRNA from 1 species